CUCCGGUUAGCCUAAUGGUUAAGGUUAUGGAACGCUAAUCCGGAGAAUGCGGGUUCGAUUCCUGCUCCGCAAG
rfam:Aedes albopictus isolate Foshan contig152813, whole genome shotgun sequence.